UGGAUGCUAAUGAUUACAGAGAAAGAGCACC
rnacentral:piRNA from 1 species